CGGCAGUGUGUAGACUGUUGCGUUUCGACAGCGUCAACCAACGAGUUAAAUGCCAAACUGCAGUAUGAUAUGCGUGUUCCCUCUCAAUGUGUGUGUUCUCUCCCCCACCAAGCGACAAUGCCUUUCCGUGCGACGGAUCCGUCAUUCAAUCAGAUCGCGUCUGCUCAUUUAAGCACUGUGACGCGACUCGGGCUCUGACGAUACUGGAAAGCGGGAAAGCGGGUCAUCUUGCAUCGCAACAAGCAGGAAGAAGCGGGAAGAACCCGGCGAAGCGAUUUGAUUGGCUGACGGAUGCCUCUGCAAAGAGGAAAAUAUCUUUCAUCAAUCGGCAUGAUGUCUGUUGUGCUCAAAAGACGGGAUUUGUCAUAAUUUCUCAGUCGAUACCAGCCUCCACUGCGUCUGAAUCAUCGUGCAAGGCGAGCUCGGAUGAGGCUAUUUCUCCAAAGGAGGUCGAUCUCAUUUCUUUCCAGCUGGAUCAGUCUUCGGCCAAAAUCGAGAAAAUAGGUGCAGUCGGUCCCAGGCCUGCGAUCCAGGCCCGAGGGAGAGAAGGAGGUCGCUGCUGGGAAUCGGGAUGGAGACCGCAGAGGGUUCCGAUGGUACUAGCGGGCCGAGUGGACUGGCGCCCGGGCUUGGGUGCGCUUCGUUCAACCAGGAUUCCACCUCAUUGGCUGUGGGCACGGGCAUGGGCUACAAGCUGUACUCCCUGACCUCCGUGGAGAAGCUUGACUGCAUCCAUGAGAGUGGUGAGUGAUGGACACAUUUCUCCAGGCUGUGUGUGUGUGUGUGUGUGUGUGUGUGUGUGUGUGUGUGUGUGUGUGUGUGUGUGUGUGUGUGUGUGUGUGUGUGUGUGUGUGUUACCUCACCACAAGGAACAGAUUAUGUCAUUCUAUAAAUGUAUCUGUGAACAUUAAUGUUAAUGCUUUAACUCGGAUCGUCCUGUUUGACUGAGAAGGAAUUCCUGUUUGGUGAAAAUAUUAUUGACAAAAUAUGUCCGUCAGGGUCACUGGUUUUGAUAUUUAACUCUGAAAAGUCUACCUGUUAUCAAUCUAUAGCAGACUGCCUAGCCCUUCGUUAUGAAGCAGUUAUAAAGUAUCUGCUUAAUACCCUGAUC
ensembl:lncRNA